rnacentral:misc_RNA from 1 species
CGUCGUCCUUACGUGUUUGGGCUGCGGUACGAGAAGAGCUCUUCCAUGCCACGCGCGUACUACAAGCCGUUCACGGCCUACGAGGAGGCCUUCGGUUUUCACGCGACGCGCCGCAACGCGUACAUCAUGUGUUCCGUGCUCUUCGGCGGUCUCUUGCUCAAAUGUAUGCUGCUGGUGAAGUACAGCUCCGUCGUGAAUCCGAAUCGGACCUCGCCACUGGAGGACGAUCCACGGUAUCAAGAGCUGAUGGAGCGGCGUCUAGUGCUGACUGAGGACUUAUCGACGCAAGAGUCGAUGAAGAGGGCGAUACGCGCUAGGCGCUCGGCACCACCCGCGUAGGUUGUACGCUGAGUGAGCGAAGACGUGCACACAACACCGCUACCACACACCUCCUGCUCCUCGAAGCCGGGAGCGGAGGCGUGGACAGUACGAGAGCGGAGGCACCGAGGCGAGUGUGUGCGCGUUUAUGUGAUUGGGGCGGACACGCAGAGAACCAGCGGCUGCACCGUUCCGCUCAAAACUCUUUCUUGUCCUCUGUGUGUGUGUAUCCCUCCCCACUGCGGCCAUGAGGCGUCUGCGUCACCAUCCUUGUUAUCGCCGCCAUCACUGCGAUAAUGGUGUCUGUCUGUCUUUUUGGUUGCUCUCAUCGACG